AGGCGCGUAGCUCAGUUGGUUAGAGCACCACCUUGACAUGGUGGGGGUCGAUGGUUCGAGUCCAUUCGCGCCUACCA
rnacentral:tRNA from 1 species